GCCUCGGAGAUGUGGCUGCUCUCUUCUAUUCAGCUCUUUCAGUUUUAAGGAAAAAUUUUAUCGGCUGAAUUUUACAUGUCCCUUCACCUUUCAAGGGGAAUUUGGCCAUAGAUUCUUUCCUGGGGUGGGUGGGAAUGUGGCUGGAAUAUUUCCAUUAAAAUGUGAAAUAUCAAUAACAGAUUUCAUGUGUUUGUGUUGUGGGCUGUGAGGACUGGAUGGAGAAUUAUA